UCACUUAAGAAGAAGAAUUUCCCUCCAAAACUUGUUAUAUUGUUUCAAGAAAAAUAACAGGCAAAUUUGUAUACUAUUUGAAUGAACCAUCCCAUUCAAUGAAAUCUUUUCUUGAAAACUUACAGCCCGCCGAGAAAAUCGGAGAGGGCACCUACGGCAUCGUUUACAAGGCGCGGAGUAAUUCAACCGGGAAGGAUGUGGCGCUCAAGAAGAUUCGCCUGGAAGGGGAAACGGAGGGUGUGCCUUCAACAGCCAUUCGGGAGAUCUCCCUUCUUAAGAACCUAAAACACAAAAAUGUGGUCCAACUCUUCGAUGUCGUCAUCUCCGGAAACAAUCUAUACAUGAUAUUCGAGUAUCUCAAUAUGGAUCUAAAGAAACUGAUGGAUAGGAAGAAGGACGUGUUUACACCUGUGUUGAUAAAGAGCUACAUGCACCAGAUUUUCGACGCCAUCGACUUUUGCCAUACAAACCGUAUUCUGCAUCGCGAUCUCAAACCACAGAACCUUCUUGUCGACACUGCAGGGAGAAUAAAGUUAGCCGAUUUUGGACUGGCAAGAGCAUUUAAUGUACCUAUGAGAGCGUACACCCACGAAGUUGUCACUCUGUGGUACAGGGCACCGGAAAUAUUGCUCGGCACAAAAUUCUAUUCCACGGGAGUUGAUAUUUGGAGUCUGGGUUGCAUAUUCUGCGAGAUGAUUAUGAGGCGGUCUCUGUUUCCCGGCGACAGUGAAAUCGACCAGCUGUAUAGGAUAUUCCGCACGUUAAGUACACCCGACGAAAGCAAAUGGCCGGGAGUGACACAACUGCCCGACUUCAAAGCCAAAUUUCCCAAGUGGGAAUCCACCAAUAUGCCUCAGGUCAUAACCGAUCACGAGGCUCAUGACCUGAUAAUGUCUAUGCUUUGCUAUGAUCCCAACUUGCGCAUCUCUGCCAAGGAUGCGCUGCAGCACACCUAUUUCAAGAACGUACAGCAUGUGAACAAAGUGGCGCUACCCGUAGAUCCAUUGGCGGGAACUGCCUCGCGGCUCACCCGACUCGUUUGAUCGUGACACCCUCAAAGCAAAACUCUAGCUAAGUACUUGUGAUCCUUAGUAUAAUGCCAGCUUCAUUUCAUGCAUUCCCCACCUUCACUCGCACCUAACACAUCUGACAAAUAAACGAUCAUCCAGUA
rnacentral:misc_RNA from 1 species